rnacentral:rRNA from 1 species
UACGAAGGGGGGCUAGCGUUGCUCGGAAUUACUGGGCGUAAAGCGCACGUAGGCGGCUUUCUAAGUCGGGGGGUGAAAUCCUGGAGCUCAACUCCAGAACUGCCUUUGAUACUGAAGAUCUUGAGUUCGGGAGAGGUGAGUGGAACUGCGAGUGUAGAGGUGAAAUUCGUAGAUAUUCGCAAGAACACCAGUGGCGAAGGCGGCUCACUGGCCCGAUACUGAC